CCUACGGGAGGCAGCAGUGAGGAAUAUUGGUCAAUGGCCGAAAGGCUGAACCAGCCAUGUCGCGUGAAGGUCAGUGCCCUAUGGGCGUUAAACUUCUUUUGUGCGGGAGCAAUAAUGGUCACGUGUGGCCAGACGAGAGUACCGUACGAAUAAGCAUCGGCUAACUGCGUGCCCGCAGCUGCGGUAAUACGGGGGAUGCAAGCGUUUUCCGGAGUUAUUGGGUUUAAAGGGUGCGUAGGCGGGGAGGUAAGUCAGCGGUGAAAAGCCCCCGCGCAACGGGGUGAAGUGCCAUUGAUACUGCAUUGCUGGAGUGCGGAUGCAGUGGGAGGAAUGUGUGGUGUAGCGGUGAAAUGCAUAGAUAUCACACAGAACACCGAUUGCGAAGGCAUCUCACG
rnacentral:rRNA from 1 species